GUGGGGAAUCUUGCGCAAUGGACGAAAGUCUGACGCAGCGACGCCGCGUGAGUGAUGAAGGCCUUAGGGUCGUAAAGCUCUGUUGAAUGGGAAGAAAAAAAUGACGGUACCAUUCGAGGAAGGACCGGCUAACUUCGUGCCAGCAGCCGCGGUAAUACGAGGGGUCCUAGCGUUGUUCGGAAUCAUUGGGCGUAAAGGGUGUGUAGGUGGCCAUGUAAGUCAGGUGUGAAAGCCCCGGGCUCAACCCGGGAAGUGCACUUGAUACUGCGUGGCUUGAGUACCGAAGAGGGUAGUGGAAUUCCAGGUGUAGUGGUGAAAUACGUAGAUAUCUGGAGGAACACCGGUGGCGAAGGCGGCUACCUGGUCGAGUACUGACACUGAGACACGAAAGCAUGGGGAUCAAACAGGAUUAGAAACCCGUGUAGUCC
rnacentral:rRNA from 1 species